rnacentral:rRNA from 1 species
UACGUAGGGUGCAAGCGUUGUCCGGAAUUAUUGGGCGUAAAGAGCUCGUAGGCGGUCUGUUGCGUCGGCUGUGAAAACCCGGGGCUCAACCCCGGGCCUGCAGCCGAUACGGGCAGACUAGAGUUCGGCAGGGGAGACUGGAAUUCCUGGUGUAGCGGUGAAAUGCGCAGAUAUCAGGAAGAACACCCGUGGCGAAGGCGGUUCUCUGGGACGGUACUGACGCUGAGACGCGAAAGCGUGGGGAGCGAACAGG